rnacentral:rRNA from 1 species
CCUACGGGAGGCAGCAGUGGGGAAUAUUGCACAAUGGGGGAAACCCUGAUGCAGCAACGCCGCGUGGGUGAAGGAGCGUUUCGGCGCGUAAAGCCCUGUCAGCGGGGAAGAAGAAGGACGGUACCGGCCCAAGAACCCCCGGCUAACAACGGCCCAGCAGCCGGGGUAAUACGUAGGGGCCAAGGGUUAGCCGGUAUUACUGGGUGUAAAGGGGGCGUAGACGGCGAGGUAAGCCUGAAGUGGAAGCCCGCGGCCCAACCGCGGAACUGCUUUUGGAACUGUUUUGCUGGAGUAUGGGAGGGGCAAGCGGAAUUCCUGGUGUAGCGGUGAAAUGCGUAGAUAUCAGGAGGAACACCGGUGGCGAAGGCGGCCUGCUGGACCAUGACUGACGUUGAGGCUCGAAGGCGUGGGGAGCAAACAGGAUUAGAUACCCCUGUAGUC